CAGAUCUGAGAGUUGCAGUCUUCCGCACUGUUAGACCUGCUUUUGUUUUUCUAAUUUCUCGCAGGCAUUUUGUGUGGCCGACGAACUGAUUUGUGGGUGUUUGUUUGUUACAGGACAGCAGGAGGCACUACAGAGUCAGAUCGUAGAGCAGGGAACAUGAGGGUCCUGUCCCUGUCUGUGUAAUGCAGUGUAUACAACCAUCAUGAAAAUUACAUACAUGAAAAUACAGCAGAUGAAUCUAAGACAUGGCAAAGAAUUAAAAGUAUUUAAAACCAUAGAUGAAAUGCAGAGAAGCCUCUAGUC
rnacentral:lncRNA from 1 species